GCAGCACAUGCCUCAAGAUGGUCAUCCCUAUGCCUCAAGACAUCCCCUAUAUAGAACAAAAGAAGGGUGAUUUUCAUAGAAGACUCCCUUCUGAGAACUGAGGGCCUGAUAUGCCUACCAAACUCUUCUCACAGACUGAAACGAUGACAUCACAGAAUCACAGAACUGUGGAAGUUGGAAGGGACCUCUGGAGGUCAUGCAGUCCAACCACCCUGCUAAAGCAGGUUCUCGCCAGGAAAACACCCAGAGUAAUUUUGAAUAUCUUCAGAGAAGGACUCCACAACCACUCUGGGCAGUUUGUUCCGGUACUCUUUAACCAUCAAAGUAAAGAAGUUUUUCCUUGGGUUCAGACAGAAUUUCCUGUGUUUAAGUUUGUGCCUGUUGUCCCUUGUUCUGUCACUGGGAACCACUGAAAAAAGCCUGGCUCUGUCCACUUGACUCCCACCCUUAAAUAUUUAUAAGCACUGAUGAGAUUCCCCUGUCAGUUCAUUUACUGCAGCACUCCUGCUUGAAUAGGUGAAUAUACUGUCCAUUUGGUUUCAUCUCUGUUUCAGAAACUUUUAUACUUUCUUUUUCUUAUACAACUUUUAUACUUUCCAAUUCGACAAGAUCCUCUGUUAUUCUUAGAAUGUUGUACCAGUCUUUCCCAUUUUUUGUACUACUUGUGUAUUUUCAAGCAUAUUUCCCAGUUCUCCCUCCAAAUUACUGCUGAAAAUAGGGCCCUUGGGUCCUAGGCAGAAGUUGAGUUCUGGAUAAAUUCAUGGAGAAUUUAACUUUGAGAUGCUCCUAAUUUGAUAGUCAAAUACCAAUAGUACUUUUGAGAGUAAUCCUCCAACCAGUUGUGUUCCCAUUAAUGGUAAUAACACCUAAAACCAAAUUUUUCAUUUUGAUUAGAAAAUUGUUAUAUAAAAGUACUGAAUAUCAAAAGCCCUGCUUAAACAUUAACCAAUUCCCCCUACACAUUAGACAAUUUAUCCUGUCAAAGAAGGAAUUCAGAUCAGUUUGAUCACAAAGCCCUGUUAACUUUCAGUAUAGCUGUGCUAUCUUCUACAUAUCUGCUUUUAAAUGUUUGUAGAGAAAUAUUUUAGUGGAAUAAAGAUAAGUUGACUGAUCU
ensembl:lncRNA